CACUCGAAGUUUGACAGAUCUUUUAACUUCCGUCCUCCAGAGGGUGGGUGGCGACAUUGAUUGGAACCAUUUGCCCCAAAUUCUGUAUGAAGAUGAAGAUCAUGAUAAAGUUGUGAUUGCAUCGGAUGGUGAUCUUGCAGCGGUUGUGGACCAUGCAAGGCAGGUUGGUUUGAAGAGAUUGAGGCCGA